UACGUAGGGGGCAAGCGUUGUCCGGAAUCAUUGGGCGUAAAGAGCGUGUAGGCGGCCCGAUAAGUCCGCUGUGAAAGUCCAGGGCUCAACCCUGGGAUGCCGGUGGAUACUGUCGGGCUCGAGUCCGGAAGAGGAGUGUGGAAUUCCUGGUGUAGCGGUGAAAUGCGCAGAUAUCAGGAAGAACACCCGUGGCGAAAGCGGCUCUCUGGAACGGUACUGACGCUGAGACGCGAAAGCGUGGGGAGCGAACAGG
rnacentral:rRNA from 1 species